rnacentral:rRNA from 1 species
UACGAAGGGGGCUAGCGUUGCUCGGAAUCACUGGGCGUAAAGCGCACGUAGGCGGAUUGUUAAGUCAGGGGUGAAAUCCUGGAGCUCAACGUCCAGAACUGCCUUUGAUACUGGCGAUCUCGAGUCCGGGAGAGGUGAGUGGAACUGCGAGUGUAGAGGUGAAAUUCGUAGAUAUUCGCAAGAACACCAGUGGCGAAGGCGGACUCACUGGCCCGGUACUGACGCUGAGGUGCGAAAG